UUCCAAUCUGGCUUCGGUACCAAUCACUUAAAAUAUUUGUAUUUUUUCCAACACAAUGUAUCUUAAAUAUUUUUCCACCGACGUAGAAUCCUUUGGUCAUGGUUGUGAAAUCGAAAUUCAAGCGGCAGAAACAAUAUCCGAUUUGAAAUUGAGUCUAGAAAAGAAAGCCAAAAUUCCCAGAGAAUCGUGUGAAAUUGUCUUUGUGAAUGAGAAGAUGUCCGAUGGCGAAAGUCUUUCCGAUGCAGCGAGGACUUGUCUGGAAUAUGAAGUGCCUCCCCCAACCAAUAUGUGCCGCAUUAACGACUUAUUGGCCUUCAGCGGGGGAAAACUCGCGGGGUGGCUCAAGGCCUUCAAGAGUCCAGGAGAAGAGAGUCAGGAGGAGGAGGAGGAGGAAGAGGAACAGGACGACGGGGAAUAUGAUGUUUUCAUCAACAAAGGUUGUCCCGUGUCUUAAUGCGGAGAGCAUCCUUCUCCUAAUUAAUUUCUUCGUUUAUACUUUUUGUUUGGAGCCCAAGGAACGCUUUUGAUGAUCCCAGGAUGCCGCAAUUCCUGUAAUUAAUUUAAAUAAUUUGGCCAAGUGAAAGCCCCGUGGUCAAAUUGAGACAUUUUCGAGUGGUAAUUAAGACAUUUUCAAGAGUUUCUGGCGAAGCAAGAGGAAACUUAAUUGUUUCCAAGCCACUUUCCUGAUAUAUGUGUAUAUAUGUAUUUAAAAGUAAAAUAAUAAUAAUUUUUAAUAGCCAUCAAAUGAUGCUGGACCCACGACGAGUAAUCCCUCCUGGAAUCCAGGAUGCAUCAUUAUCAUUUCAGCUGCAUUGUCAAGGAUAAUCAGCUUAACUAGGAGAACUCCAGUGUUCGAUCCUUAGGCGAGUGCACACGCAAUGGCAUGGGGAUCCUUUGGAAUUUCGAUGCACUCGUGGGCGUUCCUUUUAAUUGCCUGAACCAGGGGAAGGGGAAACUGUAACAAUGACAACAAGUGCACCUUUGUGACCCUUCGCCAGAAGUUAUAUAACAUAACAAUUACGUGGACAAUUGUGCACGCAAUCUGGGCAAAAAAAUGGGAAACAAAGGACAUGUUCUAUUUGUCGGCAUUUCGUGUCUUAUCUGCGGGAACCGCCCAUCCAUAUCGGUGCGAAUAUCUCUAAUUGCAAGUGCAAUGCGAUUGCAACCACUCACGCCUCUCCCUCUCCCUCCUUCCCUCCUUCCCUCUUGGAUGAAGAAAGAUGCUGCGAGAAGAAAAAUCCUGGAAAGAUGUCAGGGACAAACAUAAAUUACAUUAUUCCUUGUCAACAUUUGUGAGUCAAAAACGCGUUCAUGUUAAACAAAUAACUCACUUGUUGGCCGCUCCAGCCUCCAUCUCCAGUCCCCGUCUCUGGUCCAGUCUGCGAGGAGGUUAUUUACGAGACAUCAGUCAUGGGGAACCAUGGGCCGUGAGGCGGUUGUGUUGUAAUCAGAGCAUCCUUAAUAAAUCAUAAAUUUAUUCGUUGCAUGUAAA